UAUGUGAUCGUCUCUCGCAUAUCAAUAAGCGGAGGAAAAGAAACUAACAAGGAUUCCCCUAGUAACGGCGAGUGAAGCGGGAAGAGCUCAAAUUUGAAAUCUUAAAGGGUUUCCCUUUACGAAUUGUAGUUUAAAGAAGUGUUUUCUGUUGAGGUUUUGGUAAAAGUUCUUUGGAAUAGGACAUCAUAGAGGGUGAGAAUCCCGUAUUUGACCUUUACUUUCAACUUUGUGAUACACUUUCAAAGAGUCGGAUUGUUUGGGAAUGCAGUCCAAAAUGGGUGGUAAAUUUCAUCUAAAGCUAAAUAUUGGCGAGAGACCGAUAGCGAACAAGUACCGUGAGGGAAAGAUGAAAAGAACUUUGAAAAGAGAGUUAAACAGUACGUGAAAUUGUCAAAAGGGAAGCGUUUGACACCAGUGUUGUUUUUCUAGAAAAUCAAUUAAAGAACUGUUUAUGCUAAGUUGUUUAGACUUUAUCAGCUAACUGUUUAGUUUUGAGCUUUUCUUUAAUGCACUUUUCAGUUAACAAGUCAACAUCAAUUUCUUUUGCUGUAAAAAAGCUUGAGGAAGGUGGCUUGAGAUUCGUCUUAGGUGUUUAUAGCCUCUUGCCUAUGCAGUCGGAGAGAUUGAGGUCUGCAGCGUAGAUCCUUCGGGGCUAAAUGCAUUUGUGCUAAGUUAUAGCAUUUUAUAGACAACUUGUUGACUAUGAUUUGUCUUGUAGCUUACUCGCUUAUGUUAUUUUACCUACGCUUAGGAUGUUGACUGAUAUGUAGUCGUA
rnacentral:rRNA from 1 species